rnacentral:rRNA from 1 species
CUUGGUCAUUUAGAGGAAGUAAAAGUCGUAACAAGGUUUCCGUAGGUGAACCUGCGGAAGGAUCAUUAGUGAAUAUUAGGGCGUCUACUUCGGUAGGGCCUGACCUCCACUUUCUAACUCUGUGCACUUAUUUGGCGGAAAAGGGAAUUAGUAAUCUGUCUAAUGACGAUUGCGACUUCUUACUUUCUGCGGCUUACUUUAAACACUAGUCAAAGUAUGUAACGAAAUAUCGAAACAAAUAAAAACUUUCAACAACGGAUCUCUUGGCUCUCGCAUCGAUGAAGAACGCAGCGAAAUGUGAUAAGUAAUGUGAAUUGCAGAAUUCAGUGAAUCAUCGAAUCUUUGAACGCACCUUGCGCUCCCUAGUAUUCUGGGGAGCAUGUCUGUUUGAGUGUCAUGAACUCUUCAACCCACUGGUUUCUUGUAGACCAGCUGGUGUUUGGAUUUUGAACGUUGCUGGUCUUCGGACGUAGCUCGUUCGUAAUACAUUAGCAUCUCUAAUUCGAAUUCGGAUUGACUCAGUGUAAUAGACUAUUCGCUGAGGACACUUUUAUUAGUGGCCGAACAAGAUAAUUGUAGAAGCUUCAAACCUCUAUAGUCAAUUUUAGAUUAGACCUCAGAUCAGGCAGGAUUACCCGCUGAACUUAAGCAUAUCAAUAAGCGGAGGA